rnacentral:rRNA from 1 species
AUUGAACGCUGGCGGCAGGCUUAACACAUGCAAGUCGAGCGGGGAUAGGGUGCUUGCACCUGAUUCCUAGCGGCGGACGGGUGAGUAAUGCUUAGGAAUCUGCCUAUUAGUGGGGGACAACGUUCCGAAAGGGACGCUAAUACCGCAUACGUCCUACGGGAGAAAGCAGGGGAUCUUCGGACCUUGCGCUAAUAGAUGAGCCUAAGUCGGAUUAGCUAGUUGGUGGGGUAAAGGCCUACCAAGGCGACGAUCUGUAGCGGGUCUGAGAGGAUGAUCCGCCACACUGGGACUGAGACACGGCCCAGACUCCUACGGGAGGCAGCAGUGGGGAAUAUUGGACAAUGGGGGGAACCCUGAUCCAGCCAUGCCGCGUGUGUGAAGAAGGCCUUUUGGUUGUAAAGCACUUUAAGCGAGGAGGAGGCUUACCUGGUUAAUACCUGGGAUAAGUGGACGUUACUCGCAGAAUAAGCACCGGCUAACUCUGUGCCAGCCGCCGCCGUAAUAC